UUGGAGGGCAAGUCUGGUGCCAGCAGCCGCGGUAAUUCCAGCUCCAAUAGCGUAUAGUAAAGUUGUUGCAGUUAAAAAGCUCGUAGUUGAAUUUCGGGAUUUGUCAGUUGGUCGGGCUUCACUGUCCGUAUUGACUUGAUGGAUUCUUACCUUCUGAAUAACCAGCAUGCUAUUAAGUUAGUGCGUUGGGGAAGCAGAUCUAUUACCUUGAAAAAAUUAGAGUGCUUAAAGCGAGCUAGUGCUUGAAUAGAUUAGCAUGGAAUAAUAAAAUAGGACGGCAUGGUUCUAUUUUGUUGGUUUCUAGGAUCACCGUAAUGAUUAAUAGGGAUAGUUGGGGGCAUUAGUAUUCAAUUGUCAGAGGUGAAAUUCUUGGAUUUAUUGAAGACUAACUUCUGCGAAAGCAUUUGCCAAGGAUGUUUUCAUUAAUCAAGAACGAAAGUUAGGGGAUCGAAGACGAUCAGAUACCGUCGUAGUCUUAACCAUAAACUAUGCCGACUAGGAAUCGGACGAUGUUAAUUUUAUAAUGACUCGUUCGGCGCCUUACGGGAAAC
rnacentral:rRNA from 1 species